AUUGAACGCUGGCGGCAUGCUUUACACAUGCAAGUCGAACGGCAGCACGAAAGAGCUUGCCCUUUUGGUGGCGAGUGGCGAACGGGUGAGUAAUGCAUCGGAACGUACCGAGUCAUGGGGGAUAAUUGCCCGAAAGGAUAGCUAAUACCGCAUACGCUUUGAGAGGGAAAGAGGGGGCUCUUCGGAACUCACGUUCUUCCUGCGGCCGAUGUCUGAUUAGCUAGUUGGUGGGGUAAAGGCUAACCAAGGCGACGAUCAGUAGGGGGUCUGAGAGGAUGAUCCGCCACACUGGGACGGAGACACGGCCCAAACUCCUACGGGAGGCAGCAGUGGGGAAUUUUGGACAAUGGGCGCAAGCCUGAUCCAGCCAUGCCGCGUGUCUGAAGAAGGCCUUCGGGUUGUAAAGGACUUUUGUUAGGGAAGAAAAGGAUAGUGUUAAUACCAUGAUCUGCUGACGGUACCUAAAGAAUAAGCACCGGCUAACUACGUG
rnacentral:rRNA from 1 species